UACGUAGGGUGCGAGCGUUGUCCGGAAUUAUUGGGCGUAAAGAGCUCGUAGGCGGUGUGUCACGUCGGCCGUGAAAACCUGCAGCUUAACUGUGGGCGUGCGGUCGAUACGGGCAUCACUGGAGUUCGGCAGGGGAGACUGGAAUUCCUGGUGUAGCGGUGAAAUGCGCAGAUAUCAGGAAGAACACCCGUGGCGAAGGCGGCUCUCUGGAACGCAACUGACGCUGAGACGCGAAAGCGUGGGGAGCAAACAGG
rnacentral:rRNA from 1 species